rnacentral:tRNA from 2 species
GCCGGGAUGGCGGAACUGGUAGACGCGCAUGGUUGAGGGCCAUGUGGACAUUAGUCCUUGGGGGUUCAAAUCCCCCUCCCGGCACCA